rnacentral:rRNA from 1 species
UACGUAGGUGGUUUAUUAAGUCAGAUGUGAAAGCCCCGGGCUUAACCUGGGAACUGCAUUUGAUACUGGUAAACUAGAGUAUGGUAGAGGGGGGUAGAAUUCCUAGUGUAGCGGUGAAAUGCGUAGAUAUUAGGAGGAAUACCAGUGGCGAAGGCGGCCCCCUGGGCCUAUACUGACACUGAGGUACGAAAGCGUGGGUAGCGAACA